rnacentral:rRNA from 1 species
GAUGAACGCUGGCGGCGUGCUUAACACAUGCAAGUCGAACGUACAGGCCCUGCUUUUGUGGGGUGCUCGAGUGCCGCACGGGUGAGUAACACGUGAGUAACCCGCCCUUGACUUAGGGAUAACUCUACGAAACUCGGGCGAAUACCGGAUAUGAGCUCUUGCUCCACGGUGGGGGUUGGACAGAGUCGGCGGUUGGGGCUGGACUCGCGGCUUAUCAGCUUCUUGGUGUGGUAGUGGCUUACGAAGGCUUCCACGGGUAGCCCGCCUGAGAGGGUGACCGGCCACAGUGGGACUGAGGUACGGAGCAGACGGGAACGGGAGGCAGAGGUGGGAAAUAUUGCACAAUGGGCGGAAGCGUGAUGCAGCAACGCCGCGUGCGGGAUAACCGCUUACGGGUUGUAAACCGAUUUCUCCUGUGAUGUAGCCUGAGUGACGGUACUGGGUCAAAAAGCACCGGCUAACUACGUG